rnacentral:misc_RNA from 1 species
CUACGGGCAUAGACGAGAUAUUGUCGUCAUACCUAAUGAAUAUUCCGCAUCCGAGAGCUCAAGCGAGCGUUCAUGGGCCAAAACAACUGCGAUUGUAAUUCGAGUUACGUGGGACACAAACGAUGCUUCAAGGUUCGCUACGGUGAAAGCCCAUGGCAUAACGAGCCGACGCCGAGCGAAUGAUACACGAUUGGGCAACAUAAUUCCGUAUAGUAGGCAUUCAACACGGGAAACCAUAGAAAACAGGCAGCCAAGGCAAGGUGCCCUUGUACCAUCAAAUGAAGAGGAACGCACGGCUG